ACGAACGCUGGCGGCGUGCUUAACACAUGCAAGUCGAACGGUGAAGCGCCUUCCUUUUUGGUGGGUGUGGAUGAGUGGCGAACGGGUGAGUAACACGUGAGUAACCUGCCCCCUUCUUCUGGAUAACCGCAUGAAAGUGUGGCUAAUACGGGAUAUUCUGGGUCUGUCGCAUGAUGGGUCUGGGAAAGAUAUUGUUUCGGUGGGGGAUGGGCUCGCGGCCUAUCAGCUUGUUGGUGUGGUGAUGGCCUACCAAGGCGGUGACGGGUAGCCGGCCUGAGAGGGUGGACGGUCACACUGGGACUGAGACACGGCCCAGACUCCUACGGGAGGCAGCAGUGGGGAAUAUUGCACAAUGGGCGCAAGCCUGAUGCAGCGACGCCGCGUGAGGGAUGGAGGCCUUCGGGUUGUGAACCUCUUUCGCCAGUGAAGCAGGCCUGCCUCGUUUGUGGGUGGGUUGACGGUAGCUGGAUAAGAAGCGCCGGCUAACUACGUG
rnacentral:rRNA from 1 species